ensembl:lncRNA
UGGAAAUGUGGUCUUCGCUCAAACUUUCCAAUCGCUGCUGAUGGUAUUUUCCAGCGUCCUUCCUUUUGCGCACUUGUUCUCCUGUUCACUCGCGCUGGAAAGUUCCUCUCGCCUCCCGUAUGCUAAUCAUUCUUCACGAGUUUAGGGAAGACAGAGGACGAGGAGAGAUGCAGAGACAGCCGGAGAAGGGAGAGAGAAGAUAACGGUGGAAGGCAGGCAACCAAUUGGCCUGGAGCUCUUAGAGAGAGAGAGAGAGAGAGAGAGAGAGAGAGAGAGACCAAGGAAUGGGGGAAGCACCAAUGAGGCGGAGCAAAAGAAUGCGAGGACGCGGCUGCCAUAGAGAAAGACAAGACAGAAAGAAGGAAAAACAGCUGUACGUGAGUCAGAGCCGAGAUGCAAAGCUCUUACCAUCAGCGUGAUGCCUGCAUCCUCAGCUCAGCCCCCAGACCUCCACCCAUCCCGGUGCCGCAGGCGCGAAUGAUUAGGAUGCGUUUGCCUUCUCUGUAUCAGGGACUGAAUUUGCUCCCUUCCUUGCUCUGUGCGUGGCGUGUUUGCAGCAUCAAUGCUUCCCAUAGGCCUUGCGUUCUGAGUGUGUGUGCUUUAUUUGGGCUAGUAUCAGGGAAUCUCAUGCAUACGUCCAUCAUUCGCCUGCAGAAGAGAGCUGGACUCAUUAAUGUCGUCAGGGCUGUGAGCGCUGGCAGAGCACCAGCAGCGUGGAGCGCUGAGAUAACUGGCUUAAGAAGCAGCCAACCUCCCCUGCUCCGGCAGACAGAUCUGUCUCCUCCCAGACAAAAGCGAUGCUAUCCAUAUAUCCGCGCCAUGCACAUCCACACAGUCCAUGUGUUGGGCUGGUAAAGCAUAUCCAAGCAGGAACGAGAAUCACCCAAUCAGGCUGCAGUGUUUUUCUAGUGUAAUGCAGUGGAGGCCCCAUUUAGCCCUCUUGCUAAUCACUGUU